rnacentral:lncRNA from 1 species
UUUAAUCGUUGUUUUCGUAUUUCAAUUGUUUUUACUUAAUAGGGACAUUGUCGGUAUUUUUCUAGUUGUUGGUGCAUUGCUGAAUUAGUUGUGUUUUCUUAUUGUUUGUUGAUUUUUUCUUUUCUAUUGAGUUUAACAUGGCUGACCAAAGAACCCUGAGAGAACUUGUUGCCCCUGAUGUUGAUUAUGAUGCUUUGUGUAUUGAAUAUCAUGUUGCUGCCAAAUCCUUGAUUGAGAACAUGUCACUUAACUCCCAACAGUUCAC